UACGUAGGGACCAAGCGUUGUUCGGAUUUACUGGGCGUAAAGGGCUCGUAGGCGGCUUGUCACGUCGGGUGUGAAAGCCCGGGGCUUAACCCCGGGUCUGCAUUCGAUACGGGCUAGCUAGAGUGUGGUAGGGGAGAUCGGAAUUCCUGGUGUAGCGGUGAAAUGCGCAGAUAUCAGGAGGAACACCGGUGGCGAAGGCGGACCUCUGGGCCAUUACUGACGCUGAGGAGCGAAAGCGUGGGGAGCGAACAGG
rnacentral:rRNA from 1 species